UCUACGCCACUUCUCCAAGAAGCAAAUGUAUCCCUAAUAUUGGGUUUCACCACGCCGAGUGCCCUUCAGUUCUCGUCAAAUUCCAUUCUUUGUCCCCUGUAUUCUUUUCUCUCUGUGAUUACCACUUCUUUGCGUAUUUCUUCUGGAGCUCUCUACAUAGGCUCUGCCUUGGAGGUAAAUCCUUAGCCUCGAUGAGUAGGCAGCAAGCCCCUCUUGCACACAACAAAGACUUCUAUUUUUUUUCUCUCUAUCUUUUGGGCGACACGAUAAAAAAUAACCCUGUAUUUAUGCAAAUUGCAAAGUAGCGUGUGAUAAUGAAAACAAAACAGUGCUGGCCCGCAGCCAAGACAUGGCGCUGACGGGAGCUCCCCGACCAUUUGGCUCUUGAUUCUUCGGGGAAAGCAGCUGUAGAGAAAUGAGAAUACAGGACCCCCUCCUCACACGCGCACACCCUGGUUCGCACGCAUUCCGGUACCCGUCACCUCGGAGCCAGCAAGACCUGGGAUCCAGACACGGUUCUGCCUCCUCCAGCCGUGGAGCACUGCAGUGUCGUCCUCCACGAGCCUCCCUGCCCCUGCUCCUGAUUCCCUUUCAGGAAUUUACAAACAUUUUCCCCAGAUCAAUAUCCGUAUUGAUUAUUCAUUGUGAGUGAGUCGUGUGUCUUUGGUGAUCCAGCUUGCAGAGGUAGCAGCCAAAGCCUGCUGCAGGGGGAAAAAAAAUAACAGAAGGCGAGAGGGACCCAGCUCUUGCUGGGUCUGCGGCUGUCGGCAUCACAGAAAGGAAGAGAAAAAGAGAAAAGCGUCUCAAAACCAAGCAAUGGACAAGGGUGGAAGAGAAAGAGGGAGCAACAGCAAGAAAAAAGCCAUCGAUGACCGGACAUCUGGUCCCAGGGAAUCUCGAUGGCUUGGAGGAAGCCCCCAUCUUGGGUCUGCUCUUACGUGCAGGACGCAGUGGACUUUCUCUGCUCUGGGAGUGAAAAGUGACUCACAGUUUUGGUAUCUCCUACGUAAGAGCUUUGGGGGGAUUCCUUGGCUUGCUGACAGGCAAGGAAGACAGCAGCAGCGGUGAGGUAAAACACGAUUACUUCCAACUGCCUUGCGGAGGAUGUGCAGUCGUUUGGUUUGACUUGAACAGCUUGCUGCUCUCUGAUGGCACGCGGAGGGAGAAUAAUUAAAAAGGCCAGCAUCACUUACUAACACUCUUCAUCUCAAGUGAGUAAGAAAAAAAGAUAGAAAUCCCCAGAAGAGAGAGAACCCGCCUGUAGUCUGGAAGAAGCCACACGGUGCCUGAGAUAACUUCAACAGGAAAAGGCACUUCAGCCAAAGGCGAAGGCAGCAAGAAGGCUCCUCUUCUCUCACGACGACACCUCACAAUCGUGCGGGGCUUUCCAAUUUCCACGGUGCUCUUCACACAUAUUACCCUGUUUAAUUCUCACUACAACCAGGGAUACAGGCGAGACAGACAGUCUUUAGCUGACUUUACAGAUGAGGGUACUCAGGCUCACAGAGAAGGACUUGCCUAAGGUUGAAAGCUAAUAAGAGACAGUCACAGGUCUUCUGGGUCUUAAUCUGGUGCCAUUUUAGUAUUUUUCAUAGGUUCUUAUAAAAAAUCCUCUUUAGAACCCCUGACCCAAAGCUCCCCUGAUUCUUUUUAAAAAACAAAACCAAAAAACCUCUUUAGAGAUAGGGUCUUACUGUGUUAUCCAGGUUGCAGUGGCAGGGAGUGGUCACAGCUCACUGCAGCCUGAUUCUCCUUGGCUCAGGUAAUCCUCUCACCUCAGCCUCGUAAGUAGCUGGGACUACACGUGCAUACCACCACACCCAGCUAAUUUUUUUUUUUAAGAGAUGGGGUUUCGUCAUGUUGUCCACUCUGGUCUGAAACUCCUGUCCUCAAGCAAUCCUCCUCCCUUGGCCUCCCAAAGUGCUGGAAUUAUGGGCAUGAGCCACCAUAUGCAGCCAUUUUUUUUUUUUAAUAGAACAGGGUCUUGCUUUGUAGCUUGGGCUGGUACUGAACUCCUGGCCUUGAACAAUUUUCCCACCUCAGCCUCCCAAAGUGCUGGGAUUACAGGCGUGAGCCACUGUGACCAGCCCAGUCCUUGAUUCUUGAUCCAUGUUCAUCCCCCACUCACUUCCUCACCAUGAGCUUUUAUCUCAUAGCCUGUGUUAUUUGUAGUUAUGUGCACUUUGAAAAUGCUCCCUGUAUCCUGUCAGCGAGGAAGAACCACUGCUAACUUCCACUGGCAAAGGCAGAAGCCCUCCUUAACUUCCCAUUCCCCUCUAUCUGUUUCUCCUUUCCUUAAAAGUCAAGUUUAUUCAACAAGCUCGUCUACAUUUGUACUGUUUUUACUUUUUCACCCCACUUUGCAUCUCUAUCCAGGACUACCUGCUUUCAUUCCUACUUUCCCAUUAAGACUACAUUAGGUCAUUAACAACCAAUUACACUGUGCCUUCCUCCCAGCAUCAUUGUACUCAGUGACCAUGCCCUCCUCUGUGACGUCUCCUCUGUCACACCUGGCAUCAUUCUAUUCCUUCUUCACUUCUGGCUACCUCCUCUCUAGCUUCAUGUCAGAUUUAUCUUCCUUUACUCAUGCUUUAAAUAUUAAUGUUUCUGAAGAGGGUUUCUGUGGCCAUCUUCCAUUCUUAUUUUUUUUUUUUUUGAGAUGGUGUCUCACACUGUUGCUCAGCCUGGAGUGCAGUGACAUAAUCUUGGCUUACUGCAACCUCUGCCUACUGGGUUCGAGUGCUUCUUUUGCCUCAGCCUUCUGAGUAGCUGGGAUUACAGGCAUGCACAGCUAAUUUUUGUAUUUUUAGUAGAGACAGGGUUUCACCAUGUUGGCCAGGCUAGUCUUGAACUCCUGACCUGAGGUGAUCCACCUGCCUUAGCCUCCCAAAGUGGUGGGAUUACAGACGUGACCCACUGUGCCCGGCCAUCUUCUGUCUUAACUGUAAACAUUUUGCUUUGUGUAAUGUAAAGCCUUGGAUUGAAUGAUCAUCUACAGACUGAUCAUCAAUUACCAUCUCUUCCCAAACCACUCUCCUGAACUCAACCGGGAUCUCUGGCUCCCUGAUGUAACCUCCUUGGGAUGCUCCAGGGCCCUCCAAUUCAGGGCACUCCAAAUCAUCCCCAAACCUGCCUCCCUUCACACUCUUCUCUCUCUCUCAGCUUACCUUCAAAUUCUCUCAAUUCUUUCCCAACUUCUCUCUAACCUCUCUCUCUUUUACUGUAUUCUUGCUGCUCUUCUCUUGGUUUAUUUCCCUAGUAACUGUUUUCAUUCUCAGCUACACCCAGACCACAAUGCAUUCUCUGUUCUGUCUAAUUGACCUACAGAAAGUGCAAAUUGAUGAUCUUGCUUGCCUCUGUGAGAUCCUUCUGAGGAUCCCAACUUCCUACAUGUCCUUCCAGGCUGUUCAUGACCUGGGUGAUGCCUCUCCCUUGCCUGCUCUCUUCUAACUCAUCCAUUUUCCAUGCUCUGCUUCUAGGUCAUGAAAUGCCCCAUAACUCUUUCAUGCCUGUAGGGUUCCAUAUGAGGUUCCUGCUUCCUGGAACAUUCAACUCAGCUUCCUUCAUUUGACCAACUCCUCCUCCCCUUUCAAGACCGUUACAGCAAGAAGCAUCUCACCUCCCACUGAACCCUUCCAUGCUGGGUACGUGCUGCUGCAACCCCCAUUUCCAGCUUCCCUCUCCCACGACAUGACUUCACUUUUGCAAUGACCAAGUUUUCCCAAUUGACCACAAGACGCACAGGCAGAGACUGUGCCUUUCAUCUCCGUGUUCCCAGCACCCAGCACAGAUCCUGACAUAAAUUGGAUGCUUAAUUAAUUAACGUUACAAUUUUUAUUCCAAGUACCAUAAAUAGUAUUUUUCCAGCUGUAAGAUUACAGGCCUCCAAAAUAAUCAAGCUGAGGGAAAUACAGCGACCAUUUCCCAUAGAGAAAAAAGGAUUUCCUAUUGGGCAAUUCUCACCUAUAUCAGUUUUUUGACUUCUGUCAGGCGAGAGACAAACACUGGGGUGGUCUUUAGGUGUUUGCUGAUGUGGUAGAAACUUUGGAGUUAAUUAGAAGCUUUGGCUAAGGCUGAACUUCCUUUGCAGAGUUCCUGGGAGGAAACACUAAAUUAACAGUUAAAGGUUACUGUUAGAAAAAUGGCCUGCUUCCCUAUGUUAUGCCUCAGAGAGUUUGUUCUUCUCUCUGCCAUUUCUAAGAUGUUUCCACUUUCCGUUUGACCUGGGUAUGUUUGCACCCUAAGCCCAGUCAUUCCAACACAGGUGAAAGCUCUUGAGGUCAGGGACUGAUUCUUUGCCUAUCUUCCAGCAGCAGUAGAUUCUGGGGUACUCAAUUAGUACCUGGUGGAGUUGAACAGCGAAAAUCUGCUCAUCACAGAAGAAGGAAUGGGGAUGGUUUUGUAAGUUCCCAUUUUCCACAAAGCCGAAAAUGGCAUGAGAUCAGUAGUACCAGACCCCCCUGGCAGUCCCAAAAAAUAUCUCAAGAUAUUAUGAGCAAUGUCUACAUUUGGAAAUGCACUGAUUCUUGUUAUUUGCAA